CAGCAGCCGCGGUAAUACGAAGGGGGCUAGCGCUGCUCGGGAUGACUGGGCGUAAAGGGCGCGUAGGCGGUUUGUACAGUUAGGCGUGAAAUUCCUGGGCUCAACCUGGGGGCUGCGCUUGAUACUUGGUUGCUUGAGUGGGGAAGAGGGUCGUGGAAUUCCCAGUGUAGGGGUGAAAUUCGUAGAUAUUGGGAAGAACACCGGUGGCGAAGGCGGCGACCUGGUCCUUGACUGACGCUGAGGCGCGAAAGCGUGGGGAGCAAACAGGAUUAGAUACCCCCGUAGUCCCUGUCUCUUAUAC
rnacentral:rRNA from 1 species